GCGACCCCAGGAUGGGCGAGGCCACCCGCCGAGUUUAAGCAUAUCAA
rnacentral:rRNA from 5 species